UACGAAGGGGGCUAGCGUUGCUCGGAAUCACUGGGCGUAAAGGGUGCGUAGGCGGGUUAUUAAGUCAGAGGUGAAAUCCUGGAGCUCAACUCCAGAACUGCCUUUGAUACUGAUAGUCUUGAGUAUGGGAGAGGUGAGUGGAACUGCGAGUGUAGAGGUGAAAUUCGUAGAUAUUCGCAGGAACACCAGUGGCGAAGGCGGCUCACUGGCCCAUUACUGACGCUGAGGCACGAAAGCGUGGGGAGCAAACAGG
rnacentral:rRNA from 1 species